AUUGAACGCUGGCGGCAUGCUUUACACAUGCAAGUCGAACGGUAACAGGCCGCAAGGUGCUGACGAGUGGCGAACGGGUGAGUAAUGCAUCGGAACGUGCCCAGUCGUGGGGGAUAACGCAGCGAAAGCUGUGCUAAUACCGCAUACGAUCUAUGGAUGAAAGCGGGGGACCGUAAGGCCUCGCGCGAUUGGAGCGGCCGAUGUCAGAUUAGGUAGUUGGUGGGGUAAAGGCUCACCAAGCCAACGAUCCGUAGCUGGUCUGAGAGGACGACCAGCAACACUGGGACUGAGACACGGCCCAGACUCCUACGGGAGGCAGCAGUGGGGAAUUUUGGACAAUGGGCGCAAGCCUGAUCCAGCAAUGCCGCGUGCAGGAAGAAGGCCUUCGGGUUGUAAACUGCUUUUGUACGGAACGAAAAGGUUUGGGUUAAUACCCUGGGCCGAUGACGGUACCGUAAGAAUAAGCACCGGCUAACUACGUGCCAGCCGCCGCAGUAA
rnacentral:rRNA from 1 species